AACACCUCAACUCCCUUUCUUCUUGAAAUGGAGCUGGACUUGAGUGAUCCCAACGCUUUAUUCAUAAAGUGGCGGGUUACUUGAAAUGCAGGUGCAGCUGGACUUUUCUCUGAGCUAUAAGCAUAUCUAUUUAGUCUGCCUCAAAACAGAUUAUUACCUUUGCUGCAGCUAACAUAAAGGAGAUUAGUUCUUGUGCUGACUGAUGCAGGAUUCACAAAGACCGCUUCGGCUGUCUUUGUAA
rnacentral:misc_RNA from 1 species